UAAAUAUAGGAGAUAAUCUGAGACAAAGAGCUUCUGGUGGGAUGAAACUGACACUCUCAAGGAAGGGACACUGUUCUUGGGAGACAAUAAAGAGAGACAUGCCCAAGUUCUCUGCCAAGGAAUGACAAGCCUCUAGGCUCUUUUGAUCCACUGUGUUUACCUCUAAUCAUAAGCUCCAGAAGGGAAAACUGCAUGCACUGAGUCCAACUGGAUCUGCUGAAUAACCAUAGCUGGUACACAGGCUACUUUAGCCCAGGACCUGGUCUAAGAGUGGAGAAUUGCAGGAUUCCACACCAGACAAGGAGGAAGAUAAGCAGAGACUGAGCUAUAGAAGAUGCACACAGUUUGAAAACUAAUCUAGACCAGUCCCUGGCAGUCAUAUCAGCAGUGAGAUUCUGUACCAACUUCAAUAUAACUGUAGCUGUUUUUCUGGCUUGUCUAACUCAGUGAAAGCAGUAUAAAAUAAUUACAUGCCCUGGUAA